GGAUUAUGUGGCUCAGUGGUAGAGCGCUUGCCUUGCAUGUAUAAGGCACUGGGUUUAAUUCUCAGCACCG
rnacentral:tRNA from 1 species